ensembl:lncRNA
AGUGAACAGGUAUCCAUUACAGACAGUGAACAGGUAUACAUUACAGACAGUGAACAGGUAAACAUUACAGACAGUGAACAGGUAUCCAUUACAGACAGUGAACAGGUAAACAUUACAGACAGUGAACAGGUAUAUGUUAUAGACAGUGAACAGGUAAACAUUACAGACAGUGAACAGGUAAACAUUACAGACAGUGAACAGGUAAACAUUACAGACAGUGAACAGGUAUCCAUUACAGACAGUGAACAGGUAUCCAUUACAGACAGUGAACAGGUAUAUGUUAUAGACAGUGAACAGGUAUAUGUUAUAGACAGUGAACAGGUAUAUGUUAUAGACAGUGAACAGGUAUACAUUACAGACAGUGAACAGGUAUCCAUUACAGACAGUGAACAGGUAUAUGUUAU